rnacentral:rRNA from 1 species
GACCAAGCGUUGUUCGGAUUUACUGGGCGUAAAGGGCGCGUAGGCGGCGUGUUAAGUCAGCUGUGAAAUCUCCGAGCUUAACUCGGAACGGUCAGCUGAUACUGAUGUGCUAGAGUGCAGAAGGGGCAAUCGGAAUUCUUGGUGUAGCGGUGAAAUGCGUAGAUAUCAAGAGGAACACCUGAGGUGAAGACGGGUUGCUGGGCUGACACUGACGCUGAGGCGCGAAAGCCAGGGGAGCAAACGGG